CAGUCAUUGCUAUACUGGAAGAUGUUCUUCACUCCAUUGUUGCAAGAAUAAGAGAUAAUACUGAAAAGACUGCUGUUGGACAGAGUGAAAUGAUGCAUCAUUGCCUAGCAAUAGUGAAGACCGCAAGAGUUUUAGUCCGUAAAUGUUAUUCAGAGUUACAUGAUGAAGUAACCAACAUCGACAGCAAGAUGAGGAGCCACAUCCAAAACAUAAGAAAUGAUGCCUGUCAUAUUUUAAAAGAUGGUCUGUUUUUUGCCGAUUGUCAAAAUGCAGCCGGUAUGAUACUUAUUCAAAUCAUGCUACUACUGGCUGAUCAAAAGCUGCCCG